rnacentral:rRNA from 1 species
GACGAACGCUGGCGGCGUGCUUAACACAUGCAAGUCGAACGAAGAGCGAUGGAAGCUUGCUUCUAUCAAUCUUAGUGGCGAACGGGUGAGUAACGCGUAAUCAACCUGCCCUUCAGAGGGGGACAACAGUUGGAAACGACUGCUAAUACCGCAUACGAUCUAACCUCGGCAUCGAGGAUAGAUGAAAGGUGGCCUCUACAUGUAAGCUAUCACUGAAGGAGGGGAUUGCGUCUGAUUAGCUAGUUGGAGGGGUAACGGCCCACCAAGGCGAUGAUCAGUAGCCGGUCUGAGGGGAUGAACGGCCACAGUGGGACUGAGACACGGCCCAGACUCCUACGGGAGGCAGCAGUGGGGAAUCUUACGCAAUGGACGAGAGUCUGACGGAGCAACGGCGCGGGAGUGAUGACGGCCUUCGGGUUGUAAAGCUCUGUUAAUCGGGACGAAAGGCCUUCUUGCGAAUAGUUAGAAGGAUUGACGGUACCGGAAUAGAAAGCCACGGCUAACUACGUG